UCUCGGAAGAUACAAACGUACACUUUGAAGGGCAGCUGACUAAGACCAUCAAAGGUUUGGCAACCGUUAUGGAUGAAAUACACAUGGUUCUUAAGAAGGAUAAUGUGAAGACUGAAGAUAAAGAUCAAACAUCCAAAGAAAACGGAGCAAACUUAUGACAAACAUGCUGCU